GACGAACGCUGGCGGCGUGCCUAAUACAUGCAAGUCGAACGCAGUGGGGACGGGUGAGUAACACGUGGGUAACCUCCAAUCAGAGGGGAUAACACUUGGAAACAGGUGCUAAACCGAUACUGAUGGAUGGACCCGGGGUGCAUUAGCUAGUUGGUGAGGUAACGGCUCACCAAGGCCACGAUGCAUAGCCGACCGAGGGGGGGGAGCGGCAAAAGUGGGACGAGGACACGGCCCGGAUGCCUACGGAAGGAAGCAGGAGGGAAUCUUCGGCAAUGGAGGAAAGUCUGCGCGAGCAACGCCGCGGGAGUGAGGAAGGUUUUCGGAUCGUAAAACUCGGUUGUUAGAGAGGCGGUAUCGAACCAGAAAGCCACGGCUAACUACGUGCCAGCAGCCGCGGUAAUUC
rnacentral:rRNA from 1 species